GCUGGGCGUGGUUGUGCACGCCUAUAAUCCCAGCAACUUGGGAGGUUGUGGCAGGAGGAUGGCAAGCUCGAGGCCAGCUUCAGCAAUUU
rnacentral:sRNA from 1 species